AAUAUCGAAGCAAAGCCCUCUCUCUCUCUAGAUGAAGUUCUUGAGCUCAGGACCUGCCCACGCAUUCGAUCUUCCUUCUUCCAAGAUCAAAUUGAUUUCAUCUCAGAGUCCAUGGAUUAUCUCCCUCACUGCCUCUCUGUUUUUCCAGCGACCUCUCUCUGAAACCUCUCUCCGUCCCCGAAAGAUCGGCGUCCGAUUCAAGCAUUUCCUUCCUCAAAUGCAUAGCUCGCUCGCAGCGAUUCGUGCAUAGCUCGACCUCCUUUAUUAAAGUUGUGGAUUCGAUUUGCUUCUCAGUUUUCUAGGUCUGAGCAUUCUGGUAAGCAAGCCUGAAUCAACCAAUUUUCAUGUCUGAGCUCGACGUCCAGAUUCCUACUGCCUUUGGUAUGUUUCAUUGUAUAUCACUUGUGUGAUUAUGCACUUGCAGGGAUGGUUGCGAAUAUGUAUAUGAAUUUAUUAAGGGAUGUUGUUUCAUAGCUUUGGUCCUAGUUUAGUCUGAAAAAUUGGAUGCCUAGAUGCGUAGAUGGAUCGUUUUUAGGUGACGUUAUUCAAGUAUGAUGGUUUUUCUUUGUUUUUGUUUAGAGUCAAGAGUGAUGAGUUAGGUCUGGCUUGUUAGUUUCAAGUGAUUCUUUGUAAUUAGAAUUUAUAAAUAGAAACUGUGUGGUAGAGAAUGUUUUGUAUU